rnacentral:rRNA from 1 species
GACGAACGCUGGCGGCGUGCCUAAUACAUGCAAGUAGAACGCUGAAGGAGGAGCUUGCUUCUCUGGAUGAGUUGCGAACGGGUGAGUAACGCGUAGGUAACCUGCCUGGUAGCGGGGGAUAACUAUUGGAAACGAUAGCUAAUACCGCAUAAGAGUAGAUGUUGCAUGACAUUUGCUUAAAAGGUGCAAUUGCAUCACUACCAGAUGGACCUGCGUUGUAUUAGCUAGUUGGUGGGGUAACGGCUCACCAAGGCGACGAUACAUAGCCGACCUGAGAGGGUGAUCGGCCACACUGGGACUGAGACACGGCCCAGACUCCUACGGGAGGCGGCAGUAGGGAAUCGUCGGCAAUGGACGGAAGUCUGACCGAGCAACGCCGCGUGAGGGAAGAAGGGUUUCGGAUCGUAAAGCUCUGUUGUAAGAGAAGAACGAGUGUGAGAGUGGAAAGUUCACACUGUGACGGUAUCUUAACAGAAAGGGACGGCUAACUACGUG